rnacentral:rRNA from 1 species
UACGUAGGGGGCAAGCGUUGUCCGGAAUUAUUGGGCGGAAAGAGCGUGUAGGCGGCCAGAUAAGUCCGCUGUGAAAUCUCGAGGCUCAACUUCGAGCUGUCGGUGGAAACUAUCUGGCUAGAGUCCGGAAGAGGAGAAUGGAAUUCCUGGUGUAGCGGUGAAAUGCGCAGAUAUCAGGAAGAACACCCGUGGCGAAGGCGGUUCUCUGGGACGGUACUGACGCUGAGACGCGAAAGCGUGGGGAGCGAACAGG